rnacentral:rRNA from 1 species
GCCCUAGUAACGGCGAGUGAAGCGGCAACAGCUCAAAUUUGAAAUCUGGCCCUUGGGUCCGAGUUGUAAUUUGUAGAGGAUGCUUUUGGUGCGGUACCUUCCGAGUUCCCUGGAACGGGACGCCAUAGAGGGUGAGAGCCCCGUCUGGUCGGAUACCAAUCCUCUGUAAAGCUCCUUCGACGAGUCGAGUAGUUUGGGAAUGCUGCUCUAAAUGGGAGGUAUAUGUCUUCUAAAGCUAAAUAUUGGCCAGAGACCGAUAGCGCACAAGUAGAGUGAUCGAAAGAUGAAAAGCACUUUGAAAAGAGGGUUAAACAGUACGUGAAAUUGUUGAAAGGGAAGCGCUUGUGACCAGACUUGGGCCCGGUUAAUCAUCCACCGUUCUCGGUGGUGCACUUGGCCGGCCCAGGCCAGCAUCAGUUCGGCGUGGGGGAUAAAGGCGGCGGGAAUGUGGCUCCUCGGAGUGUUAUAGCCCACCGUGUAAUACCCUGUGCUGGACUGAGGUUCGCGCAUCUGCAAGGAUGCUGGCGUAAUGGUCAUCAGCGACCCGUCU